ensembl:lncRNA
CCCUCAGAAGACCACACCCAAGGCAAGUACGAUUUUAAAAAUAUUGCCCUUGUUUGGCAGAGUGGGCCAGUUGUACUUUGUCAUUUUCUUCUGUUUGACCUUGGAAACAAGGCUAACACACAUAUUUGAUAUAUUUUCAUUUGGAAAUCCCCCCUCAAAUAGCAAACUUUUAGCUCAGCUUUAUUACAUUCCCAAGGUCAUAAUCAUCCCAGGACCUGUAAUCUGAGAUUCACGUAGCACAGAGGCUAGGGCCACAGGAAGGAACAGGAGGCAAGAAUGCAAAAUUCACCAUGGAGUAACUACUGGUUGAAGUUGAUGCAGAGAAUUCUGGACCUUGAGGACAAAGACUAGUAUGUACCCAGGCAAGCUGGCUGGAUCCGACUGAAGGCCCACAAAGACAGGCAACAACAGAUUGAUACUGCAACAUGGCUACAGCAGCACAGGAUUGAAGAAUCAAGAAAGAGGACUGAGUAAUUUACUGAAAUCAUACAAGAAUGGCUGCACCCAUGAACUCGUAGAAUUACGGUUACUUGCUGCGGGCCGUUGGCGGUGCACACCUUUAAUCCCAGCACUUGGGAGGCAGAAGCAGGCAGAUCUCUGUGAGUUCAAGGCCAGCCUGGUCUAUCGAGUGAGUUCCAGGACAGGCUCCAAAACAAUACAGAGAAAACAGCAUGGAACAUGGAGAGAGAGAAGUGAAGGGAGGAAGAGAGAAGAGGCAGAGAGAGAGAGAGGAGAAAGAAGUUGGAACUUUUAAGGGGAAGACUGCACAUGUGCACUGAGGUUCCACGCGUGUGCAGAGUCCUCACGAAGGCCGUAAUGCGAGAUUUUCUUUAUAAAAUUUUGAAUUCAUAAGAUGUCAUGACACCUCAUUUUGAUGGAAUGAACCUUUAAGCCUUCAUCCAGAAGCUGAUGGAAAUAGAAGCAGACACCCACAGCUAAACACUGAACUGAACUGGAAUCCAGUCACAGAGAGGGAGGAGUGAUGAGCAAAAGGGUCAAGACCAGGCUGGUGAAACCCACAGAAACAGCUGACCUGAACAAGGAGGAGCUCAUGGUCCCCAGACUGAUAGCUGGGAAACCAGCAUGGGACUGAUCCAGAUCCCAUGAACAUGGGUGUCAGUGAGGAGACCUCGGAAAUCUAUGGGGCCUCUUGUAGUAGAUCAGUACUUAUCCUUAGCAUAGGAAUGGACUUUGGGAGCCCAUUCCACAUAGAGGGAUACUCCUUCAACCUAGAUACAUGGGGAAGGGCCUAGGCCCUAUCCCAAAGGAUGUGACAGAUCCUGAAGACACCUUCCAUGGAAGGCCUCACCCUUCCUGGGGAGCAGAUAUGGUAUGGGAUAGAUAGGGUGUUAGUAGGAGGCAGGGGAGGAGGGGAGGGAAAGGGGACUGGGAUUGACAUGUAAAACAAACUUGUUUCUAAAUUAAAUAAAAAAUGAAAAAAAAAGAUUCAAAUUGAAUCCUCGAUUCUUGGUAUUCUACAGACUCACCCCCAACCCGUUCCAGAGCACUGAGCAAAUAGGAGGAACUAGAAAAUAUUCUUUUUGAUUAAUGUGGAAGAGUGGAAGCUCAGAUGGGAAUGCUGGGUAGUCUAAGCAGCCGCUGAGGCAUGCCCCUCAAUGGAUUUCUCUAAUCCCACGGAAACUCAGAACAACCCCUAAGGGACAUGCUUCCACACCUCUAUUACAGCUAAGAGACCUGAGGUACAGACAGAAUAGAGGGA